rnacentral:rRNA from 1 species
UUAUCCGGAAUCAUUGGGCGUAAAGCGCCUGUAGGUUGUUUACUAAGUCUGUUGUUAAAGACUAGGGCUUAACCCUAGAAAAGCAAUGGAAACUUGUAGACUAGAGUAUGGCAGGGGUAGAGGGAAUUUCUAGUGUAGCGGUGAAAUGCGUAGAUAUUAGAAAGAACACCGGUGGCGAAAGCGCUCUACUGGACCAUUACUGACACUGAGAGACGAAAGCUAGGGGAGCAAAUGGGAUUAGAUACCCCAGUAGUCCUAGCCGUAAACGAUGGAUACUAAGUGCUGUGCGUAUCGACCCGCGCAGUGCUGUAGCUAACGCGUUAAGUAUCCCGCCUGGGGAGUACGUUCGCAAGAAUGAAACUCAAAGGAAUUGACGGGGGCCCGCACAAGCGGUGGAGCAUGUGGCUUAAUUCGAUGCAACGCGAAGAACCUUACGAGGGCUUGACAUACUGCGAAUCUCUUUGAAAGAAGAGAGUGCCUUCGGGAAUGCAGAUACAGGUGGUGCAUGGCUGUCGUCAGCUCGUGUCGUGAGAUGUUGGGUUAAGUCCCCGCAACGAGCGCAACCCCUUGUUUUUAGUUACCAAUUCGUUGGGUUUUCUAGAAAGACUGCCGGUGACAAACCGGAGGAAGGUGAGGAUGACGUCAAGUCAGCAUGCCCCUUAUGUCCUGGGCUACACACGUGCUACAAUGGUGAGGACAAAGAGUC